rnacentral:rRNA from 1 species
GAUGAACGCUGGCGGCGUGCUUAACACAUGCAAGUCGAACGGAAAGGCCCAAGCUUGCUUGGGUACUCGAGUGGCGAACGGGUGAGUAACACGUGGGUGAUCUGCCCUGCACUUCGGGAUAAGCCUUGGAAACUGGGUCUAAUACCGGAUAGGACCACAUUCUGGAUGGUGUGGUGGAAAGUUUUUCGGUGUGGGAUGAGCGCGCGGCCUAUUAGCUUGUUGGUGGGGUAAUGGCCUACCAAGGCGUCGACGGGUAGCCGGCCUGAGAGGGUGUACGGCCACAUUGGGACUGAGAUACGGCCCAGACUCCUACGGGAGGCAGCAGUGGGGAAUAUUGCACAAUGGGCGCAAGCCUGAUGCAGCGACGCCGCGUGGGGGAUGACGGCCUUCGGGUUGUAAACUCCUUUCGCUAGGGACGAAGCGAAAGUGACGGUACCUGGAGAAGAAGCACCGGCUAACUACGUG